AAGAAAUUUAAGUAACCAUGUCACAGAAACACAGGAACAUAGAUUCUGUUGGCUAAUCUAAAUAGAUAAUUAAUCAUGUUCCUGGCAGUGUGGAAUGCAGAUUUGCAUGCUAUUCACAGAGACUUUGGCAGGCAGGCUGAGAGCUUUCUGGAAUAUCAGAAUCUGGAGUGUCUUGAGGAGCUGAGGCCCCCUGCAUGUGAGCUCAUCACAUGGCUGCCCGGCAAGAUACUACAUUUUCCAGUCUUCCAUGAGGAUAGAUGUGGUCACGUGACUGAGUCUGGGCCAAUGGGAUGUGUGUAGAUGUGAUGUAUAUUUAUCUCCAUAAAGAUGAAGCUGGUUGCCCUGAAUAUUCUGUCCAUCAGUUGGGAAGUGGCAAUGAAUGGAACAAUGCCUUGGGCCCCAAGACGGAUCCUGAGUAUGGCAGAGCUGCCCACCAGCCUAGGUUCCUAUAUGUCAUCAUGGGACAGAGCUGCCUUGUAG
rnacentral:lncRNA from 10 species